AUAAUAUUUCUUAAUUAACUCUGUCAUACUUUACAUAAAUAUUUCUUUGUAUGCUUACUCAGUCUUAAACCACAGUAGAAUAUUAGAUUUACCGUCAUUGUCGUUUUGUAGCUGCCUGCGGUGUUGUUCCAUCGUCGCUGUUGCUGGAAGAAGCAGUUAAAAUGGCUGCCAUGAAUUAAAAGGAAAGGAAGUUGUUACAAUAGGUUUAUGCGAACUCGGCUAAUCGAGUUGUUGUGGUUACUGCAUAAGCGGUUUGGAGCUGAGGUUGCAGCUGCCACUGAUUUCGGGCUGAAAAGAAAGGGUUUCUUGAUGCGUUUGGUUUAUGAGUUUCGAUUAUUUGAGGAACCAGAAGAAGAGGCAUUAAGGAGAGUUAUACUGCGUUUGGUUUAUACGUUGUUGUAUUGUAUAGAUUAUUUUCUUCCCUCGUCUUUGUUAUUACAAUUUUAUAAGAGGGAUAGGAGUUGCAUGUUUUAUAUGUAUAUUAUACUAUAAGAUAUUAUGUAAGGAGUCUUGUAUAUGAAUCUAUGCCUGCUUAUUUUUAAAGUAUUUAUUUUUCCGAUUUUCAUAAAAAGGAAUGGUA